rnacentral:rRNA from 1 species
UGUUUCGCUGACGAGUGGCGGACGGGUGAGUAAUGUCUGGGAAACUGCCUGAUGGAGGGGGAUAACUACUGGAAACGGUAGCUAAUACCGCAUAACGUCGCAAGACCAAAGAGGGGGACCUUCGGGCCUCUUGCCAUCGGAUGUGCCCAGAUGGGAUUAGCUUGUUGGUGGGGUAACGGCUCACCAAGGCGACGAUCCCUAGCUGGUCUGAGAGGAUGACCAGCCACACUGGAACUGAGACACGGUCCAGACUCCUACGGGAGGCAGCAGUGGGGAAUAUUGCACAAUGGGCGCAAGCCUGAUGCAGCCAUGCCGCGUGUAUGAAGAAGGCCUUCGGGUUGUAAAGUACUUUCAGCGGGGAGGAAGGGAGUAAAGUUAAUACCUUUGCUCAUUGACGUUACCCGCAGAAGAAGCACCGGCUAACUCCGUGCCAGCAGCCGCGGUAAUACGGAGGGUGCAAGCGUUAAUCGGAAUUACUGGGCGUAAAGCGCACGCAGGCGGUUUGUUAAGUCAGAUGUGAAAUCCCCGGGCUCAACCUGGGAACUGCAUCUGAUACUGGCAAGCUUGAGUCUCGUAGAGGGGGGUAGAAUUCCAGGUGUAGCGGUGAAAUGCGUAGAGAUCUGGAGGAAUACCGGUGGCGAAGGCGGC